GGCCCCGUCGUCUAGUCAGGCUCAGGACUCCGGACUUUCGCUCCGGCAACAGGGGUUCGAAUCCCCUCGGGGUCAC
rnacentral:tRNA from 1 species